rnacentral:lncRNA from 1 species
CGACAGUCGACCAUUUUUUUUUCGAGUUUUUCACUGAGAGGAAAUGUAUUGUUGCUCAUUGCGGUUUACUUUUUGUUUUCCUUUUUCGUAAAAAAACGGUAAUAUAGACUGAAUUUCUACUUGGCAAUUUGAUCAUCUCAUCAGAUCUCAUCAUGUGGCCUUAUUAACUAACUGCUGGUCAUUUUCGAAGUAGGCAGAUGAUUUUGCCAAAAUGUCGCCUCAUGCAUGCCUCAUGCAACCUGUUCCGGAUGUACGUUUUGUCACAUGGAGAACAACCAACCAGAUUAAGUCUGGGCUUUCUUCAUUCCUGUCCAAGUUUGUUUCAUCACACAGAAAAAAACAAAAUAAGACUAGCAGGCAGUUGAAGUCUUAGCUUCACCUUCAUUGCAAUCUAAUACACACAUGGAUUUUUUCAGCCAGCCUGGUGAAUUUGACACAUACAGUGUUCUUAAUGUCACCUUUUAAAAUCUGGAACUUCAGCCAUCCAAUUGUUUUAAGCUGCAUGGAAUUCUCAUUUUCCUAUGCUGAGAACUUCAACAACAUGCACACCAAUUGAAUACCAGUUUAUCGCUUAUGCUUAUGUUGGAGGGAGGAUAUUUAAAGUUUGGAUAAAAAUUCAGUUAAUCUAUGACCCUACAAAUGUAUCCCUACCAAUCAAUCUCCAAACCCCACAAACAUAAUCAUUCCAAUCCUUCAAACCCUGAAAACAUACACCUACCAACUUUUAAAUUUAUACCCAUAACCCUAUAAACCGAUGUUAAACCUUAUCCAUAUAAUUCUGUAAUAAAUAAAAAUAAAUAUAUUAUAUGUACCAAUUUUUAUUUUAUU